rnacentral:rRNA from 1 species
UGUGCCAGCAGCCGCGGUAAUACGGAGGAUGCGAGCGUUAUCCGGAUUUAUUGGGUUUAAGGGGUGCGUAGGCGGGCUGUUAAGUCAGCGGUCAAAUGUCGGGGCUCAACCCCGGCCUGCCGUUGAAACUGGUGGCCUCGAGUGGGCGAGAAGUAUGCGGAAUGCGUGGUGUAGCGGUGAAAUGCAUAGAUAUCACGCAGAACUCCGAUUGCGAAGGCAGCAUACCGGCGCCCGACUGACGCUGAGGCACGAAAGCGUGGGUAUCGAACAGG